AGCAUAGAGAGCUUGCUCUCUGAUGGCGAGUGGCGAACGGGUGAGUAAUAUAUCGGAACGUGCCUAGUAAUGGGGAAUAACUAGCUGAAAGGUUAGCUAAUGCCGCAUACGACCUACGGGUGAAAGCAGGGGAUCUUCGGACCUUGCGUUAUUAGAGCGGCCGAUAUCUGAUUAGCUUGUUGGUGGGGUAAUAGCCUACCAAGGCGACGAUCAGUAGCUGGUCUGAGAGGACGAUCAGCCACACUGGAACUGAGACACGGUCCAGACUCCUACGGGAGGCAGCAGUGGGGAAUUUUGGACAAUGGGGGCAACCCUGAUCCAGCCAUUCCGCGUGAGUGAAGAAGGCCUUCGGGUUGUAAAGCUCUUUCGCAAGAGAAGAAAACUUAUUAUCUAAUAAAUAGUAAGUAUGACGGUAUCUUGACAAGAAGCACCGGCUAACUACGUGCCAGCAGCCGCGGUAAUACGUAGGGUGCAAGCGUUAAUCGGAA
rnacentral:rRNA from 1 species